UCUGUGCCGCCGUCCGGGCGAAGGAACCGGCCGCCUCGCUGGAAAACCGCGGCUGUUCCUUCUGCCGCUCCACCAGCGGGUUUUGUUUUUAAUCCAGCGGCGUUUAAGAAUAAAUGAGCAAAAGCCACGAAAUGGCCGGUGAAGGACAGGGAAGGCUGCGCCGAGAUGCCCGGGGACGGGCAGGACCCGCGGGCGGGAGGCUGGAGGGCAUCGCCCGGGCAGGCCCGGGGGCCGCGGAAAUCCCGCCGGCCGAACUGCGGAAGUCCCUGGUCCCUAGCCACGGAGGGCAUCCUACAGGAGGCUACUUUUGUCCGUGACAGAAAACCCUGUGAAGAAGAUCGCAGCCAUCAGGCACUUUAUUCAAUGCAGAGUUUUUGCUAAUGUGUGCGAAUGUCUAGGCACAAGUGGUGUGAGAACUUUCCAAAUCUACAGCCAUUAAGUUUAAAACUCCUGUUACGAAUUUCUACACCUCGGACUGUGCCUAAAUAUAAAUUUAUAAAUAAACAAAUAAAUAAAUACUCGUAUAAAUGCGUAUGGCCUUAA